AUUGAACGCUGGCGGCAGGCCUAACACAUGCAAGUCGAGCGGUAACAGGUCAAGCUGACGAGCGGCGAACGGGUGAGUGAUAGCUGGGAAUCUACCCAUUGGAGGGGGAUAGCUACUGGAAACGGUAGGUAAUACCGCAUACGGUCGAGAGACGAAAGUGAGGGGACUCUGUCAAAGGAGCCUUCAGCCGAUGGAUGAGCCCAGCGAAGAUUAGCUAGUAGGUUUGGUAAAGGCAGACCUAGGCGACGAUCUUGAGCUGGUCUGAGAGGAUGGACAGCCACACUGGGACUGAGAUACGGCCCAGACUCCUACGGGAGGCAGCAGUGGGGAAUAUUGCACAAUGGGCGAAAGCCUGAUGCAGCCAUGCCGCGUGUGUGAAGAAGGCCUUCGGGUUGUAAAGCACUUUAGCUGGUGAGGAAGCGGGUAGAGCGGAUAAUGUUCUAUUCGUGACGUAAGCCAGAGAAUAAGCACCGGCUAACUCCGUGCCAGCCGCCGCCGUAAGAC
rnacentral:rRNA from 1 species